GUUUCAGAAGAAUUCUCUCCUGACAUUUCGUCCACAUAUAUGGAAGGCAUCCUCACAGGUUGUGAGGUCUAUUGGAAACUAGGCAAGUGGGGUUUAUAUAUAUGUGGAAAGUUCAGGGAGACAAGUGUGAAUGCAGCAAUGAAUCACAUUGAUUAGCAUUGAAAAGCUUUGCAGCUUCAAAGCCUGGCUGAUUCCUGCCUGGGGGAAUCCUUGGUUGGGAGGUGUUAGCUGGCCCUGAUUGAUUCAUGUCUGGAAUUCCCUUCUUUUCAGAGUGUUGUUCUUUAUUUACUGUCUUGAGUUUUUUAAUACUGGUGGCCAAUUUUGUUCAUUUUCAUAGUUUCCUCCUUUCUGUUGAAAUUGUCCACCUUCUUGUGGAUUUUAAUGGCUUCUCUGUAUAGUCUGACAUGGUGAUUGUUAGAGUGGUCCAGCAUUUCUGUCUUCUCGAAUAAUAUAGCAGCAUUCACACUUACCUCCAACAGACAAGAGUUCUUUCUCCCACCCUGGACCUUCUACAGAUAUAUAAACCUCCCUUGCUUAGUUUCCAAUACAUGUCACAACCUCUGAGGAUGCCUGUGGUAGAUGUGGGUGAAACGUCAGGAGAGAAUGCUUCUGGAACAAACCCCGAAAACUCACAGCAACCCGAUGCAAGGAAGACUUGGGACUUUCCAGCAAAAAAAAAAAAAGGAGAGAGAAAGAAGGAUGGAUGGAUGGAAAGCAGGAGAGAAAUGAGAUCUCUUUACAGUGGAACUAAGCAUGCCUCUCAUGAGACUUGGCGUAAAGGACAGAAGAGAUAUUACAUUAUAUACUGGAGACAUAAGAGCAACAACAACAUCAAGAUUGUGAUGAAAGAAGAGCCGAAGAGGAGGACGAAGAAAAAGAGGGCGCCAUGUCAUGGAACCAAGUCCCAGGGCUGAAUUUCCAAGCCCUGG
rnacentral:lncRNA from 11 species